UCCUCUCUUGAUGAUAUCACGUCCUUCAUCGCUCUGCUUCCUUCUCAUUCUUCAUUUCCAUUUUUGAGCCCUAGGUCGGGUCUUUGAGAAUUUCCACAUCUGAUCUAUCCAAACCAUCUCAUUUAUUCGAUUUCAAUGGAAUUCCAGGCAUUUUCUUCUUGUCUUCCAUCAAUUUAUGGUUUUUUAGAAUUUUCUAUGUCUAUGUAUUUAUAUUUUGAUUUUUUGGGUGUUUGGUAUUUCAGAUUAGGCUUUACAAUUUCUAUCAUCUAAUCCUAUCCUAUUCUAUCUCAUUCUUUCGACUUUAAAGGAAUUUCAGGUGCUUUUCUCUUACUUCCCUCAAUUCCUGAUCUUUUUUCGAACUUUCUAGGUGUGUAUUUAAUUUUCGAAUUUUUGGGGGAUUUUGAAGCUUCAGAUUAGGGUUUACAAUUUCGAUCAUGUAAAUAUAUCGAUGUUUUUGGGGGGUUUUGAUGUUUCAGAUGAUGUGAAUUAAUUGAAUUACUCCGUAUUGGAGUAUCCCUAACCGGAGAUUUGGAGAUUAGUUUGUGUUUCUUAAAAUUGAGGUUUUUAUAUUAAGAUGAGUAGUAUUGGUGAAAUUUUAGCCUUAAUUUUCCUAGGUUAAAAUUUAGUUCACUGCUUCUUGAGAAAUUCCUUUAAUCUGUGCAACCUCUUCAAGCAAAUAGUUCAUCAACAUCUAUGAGGUCUUUGAGGUGAUUUCCCUAAAAUAACAUGAAAUGGGAGUAUACGCUUAGCUUUUCUCAUUGUCAUAUUAAUUUCAUUUUGUCACAUUUUCAAUACAGGAAGAUAAGAGUAGGGAGGAAAAUUUUUGGGAAUGAGAAGGUUGUUAUAUGGGCUAUAAUCUUUUAAAAAAAUUACAGUGACAAGGCUGAGUUGGAGAAGAGAGGGUUUUCUACUAUUUCAGCCAUUUUUGGGUUCUCAAGAUUUGAUGCAGGGAAGUCAGAAGGGGAGAGCCUUGUUGAUUUGAAACUUGGAAGUUUGGGUGACAUUGUAAAAAUAAUUUGCUAACAACUUGAAGGGUCACAAAACUUCUCUUAUGGACCCAUUUUCAUCAACAGCUGGAUCAUCAAAGAGGCCCCGAACACCGGGUGGUAGCAGUGGCCAAUUGGUUGCACGCUUGGUUGACAGGGGCAAGGUCGACUUUAGUAAAUGUCGGGACUACCACCGACGUCAUAAAGUAUGUGAGAUGCACUACAAGAUCCAAGAGUUACAAUUGGAGGGUCAAGAACCAUGGUUCUGUCAGCAAUGCAGCAGGAGCAUAUUCCACGUCUGGCAAUAAACUUAAAUUAUCUAAACAAGUUGCUCAAGGAAUGUGGUUCAUCGGGGAAGCACCCGAGACCUCCAUUUGCAAUGGUGAAGUAUGGACCAAAAUGUUUGCGAUAUCGAUAAUUCACUAGCGUCCACAACUAAGGACUCUUUGAUCAAUGGUUCAACAUGGCCAGGGGCAUUGGAACAAAGCAUAUGGAUAUGGCCUAUGGGUAUCCGCAUGGGGGUUAUGAUGCCAAUGGAUAUGCGACAGGAGCCUGAAUCGAAUCAGAAAGCAACCUAAACUGGUUCCGACU